AGGUACAAAAAUUGUCUUGGGAGUAGCUAACCAUGAGUAUCCUCUUAGUAGAAAAAAGAUAACAGCUGCAUUGCAAGGUUUGCAUUGACAAGCGAUAUCAAAGGGCAGCAUUCUGAGCAAAGUACAUAUUUGACUUAUUGGACAUCGGACUGUGUAUCUCCAACAUCUGAGCCUCUGAAUGGACAACAUUUCCUGAGCAUUUCCCUUGUUCCAGCUGUGGUUUUAACAACUUUAGGAACCAUAGAUCUUCUAGUUCUUCCUGCAGUCUUCAUUCUGUGGAGGAGGAAACUGAAGCUUAGAGAAGUUACCUCAUCUAGGGUUGUGACAUAGUGUGUGUCAAAGUCUGGUUCAUGUUCAGUUUGACUCUCAUGGUCAAGCUGUUUUGCUCUGUUUCUAGAGAUGAAGUUAAGACUAAUAUCUUGCAAUGUAUUUUCAGUGUCAGGGUACAGAGUCUUGUUAAAGAGUACAGUACAUAAAAGGAUUAUUACCUGAAAUCCUUUUACAUGGAGCACUGGUUGUUUUAGGAACUUAAUAGCUUGGAUACAUGUAUAUGUAUGACUGAAUGCCUUCACUGUUCACCUGAAACUAUCAGAACAUUGUUAAUUGGCUCUACUCUAAUAUAAAAUAAAAAGUUUGAAAUAAAAUCUUAUGGAAAGAAAAUAGAGUUGAACCAGAGAUGGUAGUUAAUUCUAUCCUAUAUUAGUUUUUUUACCCAUUUACUAGAAUUAAAAAUAAUACAAAGUAAAAAAGUGAACAGUGAUCACAUAAUUUAAAUGUGUAUCAGUUAGUAGCAUAAAACUAAUCUUUCUUUGCUAAGUUUUUUAGUUUGUGUAUCCCCACAGUUUCAAUGACAUGUUCUUUUUUGUCGUUGCUCAAAUUAAUAUGACUGUGAAGAUCUUGGUGUGUGUUAGUGUGUGUUGUUUUCUGAACAACUAUAU